AUCAAACUCUGUGUUGAAGUGAAUCUUCUGUAAAUGAAUCAUGAUGAUUAUGAAUGUGUUUUUCAGUGUUUAACGGCACAAACUCCAGCGGCGGAUCGACACAAACUCCAGAUUCACAUCAGUUCUGGUGGAUUUCUGCUCUUUUCUUCAUCACGGUUGUUCUUCUGCUCUUGAUCUGUUUCAUGCUGCGUAAAAGGAUCUUCAGGGAUCCUGAAUCUGCUGUCCAGAAGAAGCUCAGAUCUGAUGAAUCUGAUUCACUGAAUCAUUCUGAAUCUGAACAGAUCAACAGCUCGUGUCCAGAGGAUCAUCCUGUCAUCACACUGAACAACAUUCAUUAAUGGUUUCUGUGCGAUAUCUGUAGAGCAAAGUUAUUGUCCAGUUUAAAGGAUUAGUUCACUUCAGAAUUGAAAUUUCCUGAUAAUUUACUCACCCCCAUGUCAUCCAAGAUGUUUAUGUCUUUCUUUCUUCAGUUGAAAAGAAAUGAAGGUUUUUGAGGAAAACAUUCCAGGAUUUUUCUCCAUAUAGUGGACUUCAAUGGGGUUGAAGGUCCAAAUGUCAGUUUCAGUGCAGCUUCAAAGGCCUCUACACAAAUGCUCAUCUUGCAAAGGUGCAAAGAUUAAGUCAAAUGUCCUUUACAAAAAAAGGUAAAACAACAAUUUCGGGCAUUUUGAAGUUGGAGGAGAAAAUGAGAUGGAGUUUUUCGCCCUACCGCGGUACUUCCACCUACGUCAAGAGUGACCUUUCCAACGUGAUUAUGUAAUGCGUGGAGACAUGCAAGACGAGCAUUUGUGGUUAAAAAGUAUAUACAUUUUUAUUUUUUUAGAAAAUGACCAAUGGUUUCUCUAGAUAAGACCCUUAUUUCUUGUCUGGGAUCAUGUAGAGCUCUUUGAAGCUGCACUGAAACUGACAUUUGGACCUUCAACCUGUUGAA